GUGCCAGCAGCCGCGGUAAUACGAAGGGGGCUAGCGUUGUUCGGAAUUACUGGGCGUAAAGCGCGCGCAGGCGGCCAGCCAAGUCAGGGGUGAAAGCCCGGAGCUCAACUCCGGAAAUGCCUCUGAAACUGUCUGGCUUGAGUACGGAAGAGGUGAGUGGAAUUCCCAGUGUAGAGGUGAAAUUCGUAGAUAUUGGGAAGAACACCGGUGGCGAAGGCGGCUCACUGGUCCGUUACUGACGCUCAGGCGCGACAGCGUGGGGAUCAAACAGGAUUAGAUACCCCGGUAGUCC
rnacentral:rRNA from 1 species